rnacentral:rRNA from 1 species
AUUGAACGCUGGCGGCAGGCUUAACACAUGCAAGUCGAGCGAGCGGCGGACGGGUGAGUAAUGUCUGGGAAACUGCCUGAUGGAGGGGGAUAACUACUGGAAACGGUAGCUAAUACCGCAUACCCUCAGAUGUGCCCCGAUGGGAUUAGCUAGUAGGUGGGGUAAUUGCUCAACUAGGCGACGCUCCCUAGCUGGUCUGAGAGGAGGACCAGCCACACUGGAACUGGGACACGGUCCAGAUGCCUACGGGAGGCAGCAGUGGGGAAUAUGGCACAAUGGGCUCGAGCCUGAUGCAGCCAUGCCGCGUGUGUGAAGAAGGCCUUCGGGUUGUAAAGCACUUUCAGAGAGGAGGCGUUACUCGCAGAAGAAGCACCGGCUAACUCCGUGCCAGCCGCCGCGGUAAGAC